CAUGUUUGUAAGAGUAGAAGGGCUGGGAUCGAGGCACAGGGAGUGCAGCCCCUCUACUGACCUUGAACUUGGACCAAGUUCAUUGACUUGGUAUUUCCAUACCCGGUUUUCUUCGUAACAAGAUUUGUUUUUUAUUAUUUCUUUUCUGAAUGUAAGCAUGAGACAUUCCAUUACAUAUGUUGGGUAAUUUCAAUUAUUAAAAAUUCCCUAGGUGGGGCUGGAGAGAUGGCUCAGCAGUUAAGAGCACUAACUGUUCUUCCAGAGAUCCUGAGUUCAAUUCCCAGCAACCACAUAUGUUCACAACCACCUUUAAUGAGAUCUGAUGACCUCUUCUGAUAUGUUGGAAGCCAGCAACAGUGUGCUCAUAUACAUUUUAAAAGGAAAGAAGAAAAAAAAAAGAAGAGAAAAGAGAAGAAUCCCCAAAGCAAAGCAUGGAGAAGCAGGUGGAUCUCUGAAUUGGAGCCUGGUCUACAUGGUAAGUUCCAGGACAGCCAGGGCUACAUAAAGAAACCCAGUCUCAAAAAACAAAUAAAAAUUUCUAGCUAAGUAUCAUGGUACAUGCUUGCAAUCCCAGUACUCUGCACCCUGGAGGCAGAAGCAGGAGCAUAGCCACAAAUUCAAGGUCAUCCUGAUAUAUAUCGAGAGAGAGAGAGAGAGAGAGAGAGAGAGAGAGAGAGAGAGAGAGAGAAAGAAGAAGAAGAAGAAG
rnacentral:lncRNA from 1 species